UACGUAGGAUGCAAGCGUUGUCCGGAUUUAUUGGGCGUAAAGAGAACGUAGGUGGCUGUCUAAGUUCGAUCUUAAAAGACCCGGGGGCUCAACCCCGGGGAAUGGAUUGAAAACUGGGCGGCUAGAGGAUGUUAGAGGACGGUGGAAUUCCAAGUGUAGCGGUGAAAUGCGUAGAUAUUUGGAGGAACACCAGUGGCGAAAGCGGCCGUCUGGAACAUUCCUGACACUGAGGUUCGAAAGCUCGGGGAGCAAACAGG
rnacentral:rRNA from 1 species